GAUGAACGCUGGCGGCGUGCUUAACACAUGCAAGUCGAGCGAAGCGGUUUUAAGGAAGCCUUCGGGUGGAAUUAAAAUUGACUUAGCGGCGGACGGGUGAGUAACGCGUGGGUAACCUGCCUCAUACAGGGGGAUAACAGUUAGAAAUGACUGCUAAUACCGCAUAAGCGCACAGUGCUGCAUAGCACAGUGUGAAAAACUACGGUGGUAUGAGAUGGACCCGCGUCUGAUUAGGUAGUUGGUAGGGUAACGGCCGACCAAGCCGACGAUCAGUGGCCGACCUGAGAGGGUGACCGGCCACAUUGGGACUGAGACACGGGCCAAACUCCUACGGGAGGCAGCAGUGGGGAAUAGUGGACAAUGGGGGAAACCCUGAUCCAGCGACGCCGCGUGACUGAAGAAGUAUUUCGGUAUGUAAAGGUCUAUCAGCAGGGAAGAAAAUGACGGUACCUGACUAAGAAGCCCCGGCUAACUACGUGCCAGCAGCCGCGGUAAGAC
rnacentral:rRNA from 1 species